rnacentral:rRNA from 1 species
UACGUAGGGUGCGAGCGUUAAUCGGAAUUACUGGGCGUAAAGCGUGCGCAGGCGGUUUUGUAAGCCAGAUGUGAAAUCCCCGGGCUUAACCUGGGAAUGGCAUUUGGGACUGCAAGGCUUGAGUGCGGCAGAGGAGACUGGAAUUCCUGGUGUAGCAGUGAAAUGCGUAGAGAUCGGGAGGAACACCAGUGGCGAAGGCGGCUACCUGGACCAGCACUGACACUGAAGCACGAAAGCGUGGGGAGCAAACAGG